rnacentral:pre_miRNA from 1 species
UACAUACUCCCUCCGUCCAACAAAAGAUGUCUCAAGUUUGUCAAAAUUUGGAUGUAUAUAGACAUGACUUAGUGUAUAGAUGCAUUCAAAUUUAGUCAAAGUUGAGACAUCCUUUGUUGGACGGAGGGAGUACAAG